rnacentral:snoRNA from 1 species
UGCCUUGUGAUGCUAAAAUCAAGGCUUGUUUCUCAUGACAUUCGCAGUUGCCGCCUAAGAGCUUUCGCCCUGCCAGGCUUGAGGGUUAGUGCCACUGCUGCAGCA